rnacentral:rRNA from 1 species
UACGUAGGGUGCGAGCGUUGUCCGGAAUUAUUGGGCGUAAAGGGCUCGUAGGCGGUCUGUCGCGUCGGGCGUGAAAACUCAGGGCUUAACCCUGAGCCUGCUUCCGAUACGGGCAGACUAGAGGUAUGCAGGGGAGAACGGAAUUCCUGGUGUAGCGGUGAAAUGCGUAGAUAUCUGGAGGAAUACCGGUGGCGAAGGCGGCAUCCUGGACCGACAUUGACGCUGAGGAGCGAAAGCCAGGGGAGCAAACGGG